rnacentral:tRNA from 2 species
GGGCCGUUAGCUCAGUUGGUAGAGCAGCUGACUCUUAAUCAGCGGGUCGCAGGUUCGAACCCUGCACGGCUCACCA